rnacentral:rRNA from 1 species
CAGUCGCCGCGGUAAUACGUAGGGUGCAAGCGUUAAUCGGAAUUACUGGGCGUAAAGCGUGCGCAGGCGGUUAUAUAAGACAGAUGUGAAAUCCCCGGGCUCAACCUGGGAACUGCAUUUGUGACUGUAUAGCUAGAGUACGGCAGAGGGGGAUGGAAUUCCGCGUGUAGCAGUGAAAUGCGUAGAUAUGCGGAGGAACACCGAUGGCGAAGGCAAUCCCCUGGGCCUGUACUGACGCUCAUGCACGAAAGCGUGGGGAGCAAACAGGAUUAGAGACCCUUGUAGUCCCUGUCUCUUAUAC